AGAAGAGGAGAAAGGAGAGGAAGAGGGAUUUGUCUGAGUUUAUCUAUAAAAGGUGAGUAACAAUAGGAGAGAUUAGUCUAGGUAGGGAUUUUCAUCUCUUCCUUCCUCUGUUGUACCCAUUCUAGCCUUUCUAUCGAUCCUCAUUCAUGAAACUUCCCGAUCGAUCUAGAGACCUUCUGAUUUUUUUCUUCUCCCUAUCUUUCUGCUCUCUCUCUCUCUCUCUCUAUCCACUGUCGUUCCUCUCUCAAUUUCUGACAUGCCGUUGUCUCGCUAUCCUCGCCGUCCUCAAAUCAGAACAGUCUUGACAUGUCGUUGUCUCGCUCUCCUCGCCGUCCUCAGAUUAGAACAGGUAUUUCUAGGGACAAGGCUGGAGCAACAUUUGUGAAGUCGGCAAACUUUCACAUGAAGGUUUUGCAUUGUUAUUCAGCAAGGAAUAGAUGGUCUAUUGUAAUGCUUCUAUUUGUAGAUUUUCAUCACUUGGUGGAUGUUUCUUUAAAGCUUGCCCAAGCUGUUUAUGACAACUGAAACAAAAGGAAAAACAACGGUGUACUGAUCUGCCUGCAAUAGGGCAGGCAGUCCACGAAAGAUCCCAAAACCAAUGAGGUUGAAGGUUAUGGUAUGAUUUAUUGAUUGUAAUCGGUGUGAAGAUGUGGUUACAUGAAAACAGAUAAUUGAGAUCUUCAAGUUGAUAAGAAGAUUCCACGUUGAUAAGCAGCUUGGGGCUCUCCAAAGCAACUCAAAAUUUGCACAAGUUUAGUGUGAAAAAGUGUGAUUUUUCCUAAUUCAGUUAUGGUUGACGGUUGACAUCAAUUAUAAUUCAUCUAUUUCUUCAAGCGAUGAACUAAACAUGAUACCACUGUUCUGGCCUUUUUAUUUCUUAGAAUGGAAUAUUCAGUAUACGUAAAAUUCCACUUACUCCCAUAUAUAGAAUACAAAUUA